CACGUAGGGUGCGAGCGUUGUCCGGAAUUAUUGGGCGUAAAGAGCUCGUAGGCGGUCCGUCACGUCGGAUGUGAAAUCCAGGGCUCAACCCUGGACCUGCAUUCGAUACGGGCGGACUAGAGUUCGGUAGGGGAGACUGGAAUUCCUGGUGUAGCGGUGAAAUGCGCAGAUAUCAGGAGGAACACCGGUGGCGAAGGCGGGUCUCUGGGCAGUACUGACGCUGAGGAGCGAAAGCGUGGGGAGCGAACAGG
rnacentral:rRNA from 1 species